rnacentral:tRNA from 1 species
UAGUAAUUAGUUUAAAUAAAAUAAAUGAUUUCGACUCAUUAGAUUGUGAUUAUUCUCACAAUUACUAA